CCUACGGGUGGCAGCAGUGAGGAAUAUUGGUCAAUGGCCGAGAGGCUGAACCAGCCAAGUCGCGUGAGGGAAGACGGCCCUACGGGUUGUAAACCUCUUUUGUCGGGGAGCAAAGCGAGUCACGUGUGACUCAUUGAGAGUACCCGAAGAAAAAGCAUCGGCUAACUCCGUGCCAGCAGCCGCGGUAAUACGGAGGAUGCGAGCGUUAUCCGGAUUUAUUGGGUUUAACGGGUGCGAAGGCGGGUGUGAAAGUCAGCGGUCAAAUUGUGGGGCUCAACCCCGUACUGCCGUUGAAACUGGAUGCCUUGAGUGCGCGAGAGGUAUGCGGAAUGCGUGGUGUAGCGGUGAAAUGCAUAGAUAUCACGCAGAACUCCGAUUGCGAAGGCAGCAUACCGGCGCGCAACUGACGCUGAUGCACGAAAGCGUGGGUAUCGAACAGGAUUAGAUACCCUGGUAGUC
rnacentral:rRNA from 1 species